UGGUGGAAGUCGCUUACAGAUGAGGCUGUUAGAAGUUAUCCAGUGUCACAGAGAAGCCUGGAUUAGCCCCGUCAUCAAAUGAUUUGGGACCAUUUGGCUCCUACUCCACCUGGCCUACUGACAUCUGUUGGGAUCACGUGUUUGUUGUGGGACUGCUACUGAGAUGGUGACAACACCUGGAAGAAAAAGAAGGAAAGGAGAAAGCUACCUCUUCAAAAAGCAGAAUAAUCUCAUUGAUUAUCACUUUGAUGCAUUAUUUAUCAUAUAAGUGUAUACAGGUGGCCACUUUACCAGAUGGACUGCCAUUGCACAUGUGAAAUAGAAGUUGCUGAGUGAUUGCCUUUUUCCCUUCCUUGCUGUCUAGAAACUUACUUUCUUUAGCUGCCACAUGCACCAAUGGCAACUGGGGAAGCAAACACAGAAAAGUGAAACUGGGGCCCUUGGGGACACCUGAAGCAUGUCUGUGAGCACAGACCAAGUCUCCAGUGCUCUCAUCACCUGACAUUUUUAAUGGGCAAUGCUUUUCCACAAGCAGGCUGCCUGGACAGGAGGGAUGCUGUGCCGCAUGACACUUUGAUGCUCCUUUAAUACACUGAGGCUGGAUUUACAGAAGGGAUGAGUGUUCACAAAUGAAAUGUAAAUAUAAGAAGCUGUAUGAAGCAAGAAUCUCUGGAGGAAAAGAGAAGUGACAAGGCUCAAAUUUAUGAUUCCUUUUGACUGUGACACGUCUGGGCAUCAAACCCCAGUCUGCGGAGUGAGAUCUGAUUUCACUGGGGAUGACUGUGCUCACAGCAGUAUUUGUGAUGCGCUCAGACACUGCUGUAAUGACUGCAUUAAGAGUCCCUGAAGAAAUAAGUCAUCCUUUUUUUCAGUCUGACAACUUUACCAUAAAUAAAACACAAUUUAGAGUGGGGCUCUGCUGGACUGGGGUGGGUGAGUGUGGAACAAGCCUGAGUAUGUCUGUGCUGUACUCUGAGUGUGCCCAAAGACAAGACUGUGGUACCAAGCAGACAUGAUUAUGCCACUUUUGGGGAUGUUUAUGUAUGUUGGGGUGUGAUACUUCACCAAAUGAAUAAAUCCUUCCAGAACUGGUGUGGUGCAGAGACAUCUAAGCUGGCUCUGGAUACACAUAUAAAG
ensembl:lncRNA